UAGAUCAAUUAGGUGGUCGCAGCCUGCCGCCCCGCUUGAAAAUUUUCAAAGGAAACAAGCGUCAAGAUCGCUGUCAUUAUUAGCAUUUCUUUCUCUCGAGGAAGAGCUUCUUUUUGGGGUCCAUUUCUCACCUAGCCACUACUUUUCUACUACUCCAAACACUUGCUACUUGCUUUCCAUUUAUCUUCUUUUUUUUUUUCAAAAUAAUAUCAUUCAUUCUUUACUCCACUGCAAAGAAACCAGACCCCCAAAGAGAUCAUAUUUCCUUUUUGGAGGAUUCUGAUAGUUUAUCAUCUUAGAUUCCUAUUACCUCAUAUACCCCUUUCCAUGUUCGACUGAUUUAUACUCACCAUUCUGCAGGUAUUGACAUUUUACUCUUCGACACACCUGAAGCUCCAUUAUCUUCUACAGCCCCUCAAGUUUCUUCUGAGAUUAUGGAUCCAUCUCUAUGUCAAUCCACACAUAUUCCAAGCUAUGGAUGAGGAACUUUCUACUUUGUGUAAGACAGAUACUUGAGAUUUGAUUCCUCUACCUCCUGGCAAAAGUGUCGUUGGUUGUCGUUGGGUGUACAAGAUCAAGACUAAUUCUGAUUGGUUUAUUGAGGGAUACAAAGCUAGUUUGGUUGCAAAAGGAUACUCUCAACAGUAUGGUGUUGCUACCCAAUUUUUUACCCAUGUUUUUGAUAAUUUUUCAGAAAAAAACAAAAAUAUUAAAAAAACAACGAAAACCCCAUAAAAUGUAUUUUUGAUAUAUUUGCAUUGUUUUUAGCAUUUUUAAUGUCAUCUCAGAAGAAUUUAAAUUUUCAAAUGUAUUUUGAACGCGUUUAACUUUUAACGUGUUAAUUUAACAAUCACUAAUUUUUCUUGUUGAAAAAAUUUAAAAAUACAAAAAAUUCAAAAUUUACAAGGGACCAAAUAUAAAAAGGAAAAGUUGAGAGACCAAUUUAUUUUUUAGGUUGCUUGGGACCAAACAUUUAAAAAUAACAAAUAAAAAAAGGGCGGAGAAAAUUUUUGAGAUAGGGGGGCGGAGAAAAUUUUGGGGGAAACAAAAUAAAAAAACCCUAAGCUAAACUGAUCUAGACAAAACCGCCACCCCCCGCUUGCUUGCACAUUUGGUCCAUCUUCCUUCUCCUAGCACCGAAUUAGUUCUCCAAGGCAGCUUCACCCAAUUUCCCUCUCCUGGUCAUCAGCACAGGCAGCCACCUCUCCCUUUGCAAAAAAAAAAAAAAAACCAGAGCUCUCUUCCUCGGGGUUCUCUCCCAAAACAAAAAAAAACUCCCCCAUCUUCUUCUCCUCUGGCAGCCAUCACCUUUCUCCCCUCAGCCCCGGCCAGCAGACCCCGCUCACAGCAUCUCCUUCAUUUGUGGCCGCCACCCUGCCAUUGGGAUUUUUGGCUCCCAAAACCAGAAGCCACACAGGGGUCUCUUGUUCCCUGUUGAAUCCAGCCCCCACAGACCCACAAGACAGCCCCGGCUCUCUUCCUCGUCGCCAUUUUCUCCAGCUCUGACCAACCUCUCUCUCAGCCACUGAGAACGCCGCCUAGCAGCCCGCAGGCCCUUGUCCUCACCAAAACCCAAACCGGCCAUCGGCAACUGCACAGACACGACAGAAGCUCAGCCAGACCGGCCUUCACCGAAACCUCCCAGCCUCCACAGACCAGCCACCAAUCCACAAGCCUCACGGACGACUGCAGCAAGCCCAACCGCCGCUGCUACCAAAAGGAGAGAAGACCAUCAACGCCUUGACCACCACCGCAGCUACCUCUACAACCGCCAGAUCGGCUGCCGGGAGGAGGAAAGAACAACAAACCAGAGCAGAAAAACAGACUCGAGAAUAGAUCCGGAAGGGGAAAAGAAAAUUAAAAUCGACCACUUGUUGUGUUUCUUCUCCUGCAGGUAACGGUGGCUGUCACUGCCGGCGAGGAAAGUGAAGAGGGGAGGAAGCCGGUUCAAAUCUCCCCUGGCGCCGCUCAUUUUUUCGGCGGCUUGUGAACCCACGCGCCGCCACCGCUCCUACAGUUCCAGAGGGCCUCUGCAGUUCCUGUACUUUUUAUGGACCUGUUUUUGUAAUUUUUACAUGCUUGAAUAUGUAUUUAAAUUUCUGUUAAAUAUUUCUAGUUUAUGUUAUGUUGUAAACAUUGUAACAAAAAAAACAUAGUAAAAAGUGAUGUGUAAGUGUGUGUUUGCAUUUUUUUUUUUAAUGUAUGUUAUUGAAUUAUAAAAUUAAAAAGACAAAAAUAAAUUUAAUGUUUUAA